AUUAGAUACGCGGGAACACACCACUUCUGAAGAUUUUACAUAUAAAGAAAAUUCACCAUUCGUCAUGGCGACGAGAAUCGUCAAAGUAGGUGAAUUUUUGUAUGAAAUCCGCCAUUUCAUCGUCAGCUGUGGUGUGUCACCCCCGUAUCUGUAUCUGCGUGACCUCCCCAAAUCCAUGGUCGGUAUAA